rnacentral:rRNA from 1 species
UACGGAGGGUGCAAGCAUUAAUCGGAUUUAUUGGGCGUAAAGGGCGCGUAGGCGGGGUUAAUAGUCAGAUGUGAAAUCCUGGGGCUCAACCUCAGAACAGCAUUUGAAACUGUAUCCCUAGAGGGUAGGAGGAGAAAACGGAAUUCCACAAGUAGCGGUGAAAUGCGUAGAUAUGUGGAAGAACACCGGUGGCGAAGGCGGUUUUCUAUCUUAUUCCUGACGCUGAGGCGCGAAAGCAAGGGGAUCAAACAGG